rnacentral:tRNA from 1 species
GCCCGGAUGGUGGAACGCAGACACGGGCAGCUUAAAACUGCUUGGCCUUAGGCCGUGCCGGUUCGAGUCCGGCUCCGGGCACCA